UGGGCAACCUGCCCUCAGCUCUGGGAUAACCCCGGGAAACCGGGGCUAAUACCGGAUACGACCUCCUCGGGCAUCCGAGGUGGUGGAAAGGUUUUUCCGGCUGAGGAUGGGCCCCGCGGCCUAUCAGCUAGUUGGUGGGGUGAUGGCCUACCAAGGCGACGACGGGUAGCUGGUCUGAGAGGACGACCAGCCACACUGGAACUGAGAUACGGUCCAGACUCCGUACGGGAGGCA
rnacentral:rRNA from 1 species